CCUUUUUCCAUAAUUGAUGAUUAUUAGUUCUUUUGACUACUUGUAAUAUGAAUUUAUGGAUUCAUGCAUGUUUGUGUACAUAGUUUACAACUUUACAUGCAUGCAUUUCGUGUGUGGUACAAUACACCAAUUUGAACACGUUCAUUAUAUAUUCGGUUUUUAUUAGUAUACAGAUGUAUGUGCGUGUGUGUAUCUAGAUAGUAGUACUAGGUCAUCCUGCAGCUUCAGUCACUAAAUCACCAACAAUCUGGCCAGAAACGAUAAACUUAACAUCCUAAGAAAGUCGAUCCCGCCGCGUUUAACUUUUAUGAUCUCCUCUAUCAUCGAAGACUCAUGUUAUUUGUAAUAUAGGUGGUGCCAUAACCAACGACCGACAUUGAAGUUUCUAUAUUGAUAAGCAAUUCUAGUUUGUUUCGAAGAUUUUUCAUUUGGAGGACGCGUGAUAUGGAUUGUACUAAUUAAGAUCAUGAAGAUUAUUUUUCCUCUUACUUUCAAAUUUAAAAUUGUAAUUUAGUUCAUAGUUGGGUUCUGGUGGUUUUAGAUCAUUUGUUACGAUUACUAGUUUCCAUAGACACUUCUAAAUUUUUUUUCCAAAGUGGUCAUAUAUAUAUAUACAAUGUGUUUGAGAUUAAAAAUAUAAA